rnacentral:rRNA from 1 species
GUGUCAGCCGCCGCGGUAAAACGUAGGAGACGAACGUUAUCCGGAGUUACUGGGCGUAAAGGGCGUGCAGGCGGUAUCUUAAGUUCGUCGUGAAAUCGCCCGGCUUAACCGGGCGCGGUCGAUGGAUACUGGGAAACUAGAGGACGGUAGAGGCGUGUGGAAUUCCGGGUGUAGUGGUGAAAUGCGUAGAUAUCCGGAGGAACACCAGUGGCGAAGGCGACACGCUGGGCCGUACCUGACGCUAAGACGCGACAGCAUGGGGAGCGAACGGGAUUAGAUACCCGCGUAGUCC